ACGGAGGGUGCAAGCGUUGUUCGGAAUUACUGGGCGUAAAGCGCGUGUAGGCGGCUAUCUAAGUCUGAUGUGAAAUCCCGGGGCUUACCCCCGGAAGUGCAUUGGAAACUGGAUAACUAGAGUACCGGAGAGGAGGGUGGAAUUCCUGGUGUAGCGGUGAAAUGCGUAGAUAUCAGGAAGAACACCGGUGGCGAAGGCGUCCCUCUGGCCGGAUACUGACGCUGAGACGCGAAAGCGUGGGGAGCAAACAGGA
rnacentral:rRNA from 1 species